ACUUCAUUUGUAAAGGAUACUUCCCGUUGAGGAAUGUCACCAAAGAUGCAAAUCCUAUGGGUACGAAUACCAUAAUAUUAUUCUUCUAAUCUUUACCCACUCAUGGUUGCCUGUCAAUUGUAAUCUAACUGGUGCACCAAAUUCGUCUUAUGCUGCAGCGCCAACUGUAACCACAGCCAUUUCGACAAUUGUAAUCUCUACUUAGCCUACCAACAGACAUAGACAUGUACUUCAAUACAAUUUCUAUUGGACUGCCAUCUCUUUGCUGUCUGCUGCCUAUCUGCUGGCCCUACAGUAUUUCUAGCCAUUGGACAACAGAAAACAAAGCCUUUUUCCUCUUCUCCGCGCCCGUCUUCACCUCGCCUGUCAACUCCUCUUCGCUUCGCCUGUCGUCCCGUCUUCGCCUCGCCCGUUGUCCC